rnacentral:rRNA from 1 species
UACGAAGGGGGCUAGCGUUGUUCGGAAUUACUGGGCGUAAAGGGUGCGUAGGCGGGUCUUUAAGUCAGGGGUGAAAUCCUGGAGCUCAACUCCAGAACUGCCUUUGAUACUGAGGAUCUUGAGUUCGGGAGAGGUGAGUGGAACUGCGAGUGUAGAGGUGAAAUUCGUAGAUAUUCGCAAGAACACCAGUGGCGAAGGCGGCUCACUGGCCCGAUACUGACGCUGAGGCACGAAAGCGUGGGGAGCAAACAGGG